CCUACGGGAGGCAGCAGUGGGGAAUUUUGGACAAUGGGCGCAAGCCUGAUCCAGCCAUGCCGCGUGCAGGAUGAAGGCCUUCGGGUUGUAAACUGCUUUUGUACGGAACGAAAAGGUCUGCCCUAAUACGGUGGGCCCAUGACGGUACCGUAAGAAUAAGCACCGGCUAACUACGUGCCAGCAGCCGCGGUAAUACGUAGGGUGCAAGCGUUAAUCGGAAUUACUGGGCGUAAAGCGUGCGCAGGCGGUAAUGUAAGACAGAUGUGAAAUCCCCGGGCUCAACCUGGGAACUGCAUUUGUGACUGCAUUGCUGGAGUGCGGCAGAGGGGGAUGGAAUUCCGCGUGUAGCAGUGAAAUGCGUAGAUAUGCGGAGGAACACCGAUGGCGAAGGCAAUCCCCUGGGCCUGCACUGACGCUCAUGCACGAACGACGGUGGGGUAGGACGAACGAAGGAGUUAGUACUACCCGUACGGUACGUACCGACCGACCCGUAACCGUACGUGUACAC
rnacentral:rRNA from 1 species